rnacentral:lncRNA from 1 species
UCUAGAUUUAAUUUGUCUGUUAAAGGUACAUUAUGCUGCAAAUGUGUCAAGUCUGUGUUGACAGGUUGGAAAUAGUAAUGAUCACGAUUGAGAGUGGAUGAAAGGAUCACACUACUCACCAUGGCUUGUUGUGAAGGAUCUCCCCAGAAAGUGACACUGCUGAAAGUAAAGAUCGGACGCAACGUAUACAGCUUAAUCGACAAGAGUAUCCUGCACAUUCCGAAGUA